CCUACGGGAGGCAGCAGUGAGGAAUAUUGGUCAAUGGGCGGAAGCCUGAACCAGCCAAGUAGCGUGCAGGAUGACGGCCCUACGGGUUGUAAACUGCUUUUAUACGGGAAUAACGCGCCUUACGUGUAGGGCUUUGCAUGUACCGUAUGAAUAAGGACCGGCUAAUUCCGUGCCAGCAGCCGCGGUAAUACGUAGGAGGCGAGCGUUAUCCGGAAUGACUGGGCGGAAAGGGUGCGUAGGUGGGUUGGCAAGUUAGUAGCGUAACUCAAAGGCUCAACCUUGGAACUACUACUAAAAUUGUUGGACUUGAGUGCAGGAGGGGCAACCGGAAUUCCUAGUGUAGCGGUGGAAUGCGUAGAUAUUAGGAGGAACACCAGUGGCGAAGGCGGGUUGCUAGACUGUAACUGACACUGAGGCACGAAAGCGUGGGGAGCAAACAGGAUUAGAUACCCGUGUAGUC
rnacentral:rRNA from 1 species